GGGUCGUUAGCUCAGUCUGGCAGAGCACUCGGCUCUUAACCGAGUGGUCGGGGGUUCAAAUCCCCUACGACCCG
rnacentral:tRNA from 1 species